GAUGAACGCUAGCGGCAGGCCUAACACAUGCAAGUCGAGGGGUAGCAGGAUUAAGCUUGCUUAAUUGCUGACGACUGGCGCACGGGUGCGUAACGCGUAUGCAACCUACCUUAUACUGGGGUAUAGCCCGGAGAAAUUCGGAUUAAUCCCCCAUAGUACUAAUGAAUCGCAUGGUUUAUUAGUUAAAGCAUUGCGGUAUAAGAUGGGCAUGCGUCCUAUUAGCUAGAUGGUGAGGUAACGGCUCACCAUGGCUACGAUAGGUAGGGGGCCUGAGAGGGUGGUCCCCCACACUGGUACUGAGACACGGACCAGACUCCUAAGGGAGGCAGCAGUGAGGAAUAUUGGUCAAUGGGCGCAAGCCUGAACCAGCCAUGCCGCGUGCAGGAAGAAUGCCCUAUGGGUUGUAAACUGCUUUUAUUUGGGAAUAAACCUCUUUACGUGUAGAGAGCUGAAGGUACCAAAUGAAUAAGCACCGGCUAACUCCGUGCCAGCCGCCGCAGUAA
rnacentral:rRNA from 1 species